GGAAUUUUGCACAAUGGACGAAAGUCUGAUGCAGCGACGCCGCGUGGGGGAUGAAUGCCUUCGGGUUGUAAACCCCUUUCAGGAGGGACGAAGCGAAAGUGACGGUACCUCCAGAAGACGCCCCGGCCAACUACGGGCCAGCAGCCGCGGUAAUACGGAGGGGGCGAACGUUGUCCGGAUUUAUUGGGCGUAAAGAGCUCGUAGGCGGCUCCGCAAGUCGGCCGUGAAAGCCCGGGGCUCAACCCCGGGAUGCCGGUCGAAACUGCUGUGGCUAGGGUCCGGUAGAGGAGAGUGGAAUUCCCGGUGUAGCGGUGAAAUGCGCAGAUAUCGGGAGGAACACCAGUAGCGAAGGCGGCUCUCUGGGCCGGUACCGACGCUGAGGAGCGAAAGCUAGGGGAGCGAA
rnacentral:rRNA from 1 species